rnacentral:tRNA from 1 species
CCCGCAAAGAGGAUUAAAUUUCAUUCGUAAUGACGGGGUCGGGGGUUCGAAUCCCUCUUGCGGCACCA